AUGAUGACAAGUCUAUUAGGUUAAAUUCGGUAGAAUUUCAAUAAUUAUAUAAUAAUUUGCACACAUGGAGUGAAUAACCACUAUGAAUUAUGGAGAAUUGUAAUCAACCUCUAGUUUGGAAAUUAAUGACUUGUGUCGUCAAACUGUUUACUCGGUAUCUUUGUGAAUUCUGCACUGAUCUGUAGUUUUUCGUUGAUUCCCAUUAGAUGAUUUGUCUGUUAGCUUGUUUUUUAGGAUUCCCGGAAGGCACUAGACGAACUACAGGUUUCCUAGUUCUAAUUGUUAGGUCAACUCUCCAGGAUCAAGAUUGGGAGUAGGAUCAAGCUCUUACAUGUUGAUGUUCAUGGUUUUGCUUCAGGUCAACUCGGUAAUUAUUGGACAGCUUUAGUCAAACCCGAGCUAGUUGUCUCAUUAACAACUAAAAAAAUUGCAUCAUUCGACUUUUAACCAUACCCAGAGUUCACUUUUCAAAUCGUCGACAUGGCCAACCAUGUCAGGUUUAGGAGCAACUGUCAAAGUGGAAUAUCAUCUAUCAUUUAAGUAGAAAAUAUUGUUAGUUGAGGAUGUCUGAGAAAUAAUCCUAACCAUCAUUUUCCUAACAUCAGUAUGAGUAAGAUCCCUUGCAUUCUUGUUCCUUGUUUCUUGGUCACUUCUAUUACAAUCUUGUAAUGUUCUCACAUAUGGUCUAACUGAGACUAUUUUUAGUUAUGAAACAUUGAUAUCUCUUGCCUUUUGGUAUUAAUUUCACCUUUUUACAUUUGCCGGUCGGAUAGGAUUAUUACCUUUGUUCAAAUGAUGUUUAGGUUAUUUUAGCAAUGAAGAGGCUACGGCAUCAACCCUAGAUUCAGAGGGGUGGUUGAAAACUGGAGAUUUGUGCUAUGUUGAUGAGGACGGCUUCAUUUUUGUGGUUGAUCGAUUGAAGGAGCUGAUCAAGUAUAAGGGAUACCAGGUUCCUCCGGCAGAAUUAGAGGCUUUGUUACUCACUCACCCGGAAAUUGUUGAUGCAGCUGUUAUACCGUAAGUAACUUCAAGUUCCAGUU